AAUUUUUCGACCUAAAUUGAUAUUAUCUAAUUGUGUACUUAAAUUUAACAGCUGACAGCUAUUCAACCUAAUUCAUUGCAUACCUUUAUCUGACAUUAUCAAGAUGAAUUUGACAGUUUAACUUUGAGUUCUUGUCAUAUUUUAUUACCAUUUUCUAAACUAUAGCGACUAUAGACAUGAUGUGAAAAAUGUUGAAGGUGUCUGAAUAAAUAUUGUUCAACAACCAUUAGAAACUUAAAUUUUAAAUAUCUGCAUCUCCAUCUGAUUUAUUCCAUUCAAAAUCGUCCGUUACACCAGCGAGUGGUAAAUAAUCCCGUAUUCCCGUUCCCCUCCCAACCACUCCCAUCACCCGCACAGCUCCAAUCCGCGCUCGCUCGCUCUCUCCGCCGCUACAGCGCGCGCUCUGAUGCCGCAGCUCCAGUCUCUCUCUCUCUCUCUGGUAAUAACACAGCACAGUCAUGGCGACAGUGACAGUCCAACCGCUCACCCUGGACCGAGAUGUUGCCAGGGCGAUUGAGCUGCUGGAAAAACUACAGGAGUCAGGUGACGUCCCGGNNNNNNNNNNNNNNNNNNNNNNNNNNNNNNNNNNNNNNNNNNNNNNAAAGAUAUUUAGCAAAAUGUCCAGGCCGCUAUUUUCUAAUGUUUUAAAAAAUAUAUCCAAGUCUUCUGAAGUCAAAACUUUGUCCAAGGUGCAGCCUGAAAUUUGGAAUACCUUUUUCUGAUUGGACUGUUGAGGAAAUAUAUAGGCUCUUUCUGCUCACAUACUGAAACUUCAAAUGAAGCAUUAACUUUAAAAUUAAUAAAUUGUGCAUGUGUGUGGAUAUGUCAAAGUUUUUACUCUUAACUAAAAAUAAAACUAUAAAAAUAAUUUUCAUUAAUUGAAAUAAAGUUGGAUAGUUGAAUGAAACUGGGAAAAAAAAAGAAAACUGAAAUGAAAAAAAAAAAACCCUGAAAAUUAAAAUGAAAAAAAAUAAAUCAAUAAAAUACAAUAAAUUAAAAUUUUAAUUGUAAGUUGCUUUGGAUAAAAGCAUCGGUUAAAUGAAUAAAUGUAUAUGUACUGUAAAUGUAAUCUGAAUUACUAAAACUGAAAUAAAAAUAAAAUAAAUCUAAACAGAAGUAUUAAAAAACUAAUAUAUUAAGAAAACUAAAAUGAAACAAGAAAACUGAAAAUAUAAACAUAAAAGCUUAAAAUAAUAGUAUAAUAUAAAUAAUACAAAAUAAAAGAUAUAAAUAACACACUAUCACAAACAAACACCCUUGUUAUACAGUAUAGUACUGUAUAUUCACACCCACAGCAUAUUAAUUAGCUACGAAAAAACUUAAGUACUGUAUAUUGUUUUUAUCCUUAAUAUGUAUUUUAAUAUAUAUUUUAUACUUAAUAUAUAAUAAUAAUGCUCAAUAAAUUUAUUAUAAAUUAAUUGGAUUAUUUAAUUACACCAUUUGCAAUGUAUCAUGGGAUAAGUAAUUCAUUCUAUUUUAAAGAAUUUAAGUAUAGACUUUCCUUUUUUCUGCUUUUCAUAAUUUGUUGUAUUGUUGUGAUUCUUGAAUCUAAUUAGUUUGCUUCAUUGUGCUUAGAACUCUUAAAAACUGCCUAUGGAGAAAAUGAAUGUGGAAGUCCUUCAAGAUUCAAGGACAGUAAAAAAGCAGGCAGCCACUUUGUAUUUUAUUGCUGAUGAAGCAUCUAAGCAUCAGAGGCUGUGGUAGAUACAGUAUAGGCCGAGGAUCAUCAAUUAUGGGAUGGAAUCUCAGCGUCAUCUGAGUCUGACGGUCGUGACAGACGUGCAUUGAGGGUGCGAUGACAGGAGCGUGUCUGUCAGGCAGAGAUAGUGGCGACUGGUGCCUGUUUU
ensembl:lncRNA